GAAGACUUGCUUGUCUGCAAACCAAACCAAGGACAGCAUAUGGAUGUACUACAUGGUGGUUUUGACAGAUUAUUGACCGGAAGUCUAUCUGCUUUCUUUGAGUGGUUUCAGAAUUCCGAACAGAUGGUUAACAAAGUGUUGGAACAAUGUGCAGCUAUUAUGUGGCACCAGUAUAUUGCUGGAUCAGCAAAAUUUCCAGGGGUGAGAACAAAAGGUGUUGAGGGUCGUCGUAAGAGGGAAAUGGGGAGAAGGUCACGA
rnacentral:misc_RNA from 1 species